rnacentral:rRNA from 1 species
ACGGAGGGUGCGAGCGUUGUCCGGAAUCACUGGGCGUAAAGGGUGCGUAGGCGGUCUGCUAAGUGAGUGGUGAAAGCUCGGGGCUCAACUCUGAGUCUGCCAUGCAAACUGGUAGACUAGAGCACUGUAGAGGUGAGUGGAAUUCCGAGUGUAGCGGUGAAAUGCGUAGAGAUCCGGAAGAACACCGGUGGCGAAGGCGGCUCACUGGACGAGAACUGACGCUCAGGCACGAUAGCGUGGGGAGCAAACAG